AGGGCAAAGCCAAGAAGUGAUUUUCCCCCCUCCCUGCCACGGGAACUGUGACCUAAUUCUCAUUCCUAAUCACAGAAUCAAAGGAGAAAUUUAUUUCAAUGAGCUAGUCUGAAAGAGCUAUUUGCCAAAUGGCUUUCUUUCCAAUACUUAAUGAAAAGAUGCAUUUUGUACUACUUUCAAAAAGGGAUAUGGACAGGAGACGGAAAUACUGGGUAGAAAAGGGCAGUUCCCUGGCAAAGCCUCACCCUCAAGCCUGGAUACCUGCUGUCUUAAACGAAAACGAAAACAGGCAUUUCUGUGUUCAUGCUCCAAAAGUUAUCUUUUGGCCUGCCACACCCCCUAUCCUGCACCCAUAUGAAUCCCGAACCCCAGACUCCAGAAGCAGACCAGCAAGCCCGCAGACCAGCAGAAGGAUGGCAGAACGAUGUGGCAGAGAAAGGGAGAAGAGGAGGAACAUCUGAAUGCCAAAAUGAGUUCAGCUGGGGGCAGUCAGAGAGGAGUCCAGCCACUGGGCAGCCAGAAUCCAGGGGAGGAUCACCUUUCCACUUCAUCCCCUUCCUCUGCCUCCCCAUCCAUCCUGCUGAAAGCCACCUCCACCACUCAAUAAAACC
rnacentral:lncRNA from 10 species